AGGAUUGGUUGUCCACUCAUAACCAUAAGAUAAUUAAAACAAGGGGGGGCAGGGUUAAAAAAAAACCCUUUUUAUCAGCCAUAGGUUAAUGCAAGUGUUUAACAGAUGCUUCGUUAUUAAAAUAUCCCCCUCCCCCCUCCUCCCGCCAUGGAAGAAUCUCAAACCAGCAACCCCAACAGAGACUUUGGAGGUUUUCAAAAUGGGGCACCUCGAUUUCUCGAAUCUGUGGUGUGGCGAGUACCCGUGUUCCGCUGGUUUAACUAGCCUGUUUGAUAUUUAAUAUGCACAAUAAACCCAUGAAGAAACGAGCAGGACUAAGAUAAAGAAGAUCAGGUCUGGUUCUAUUUAUUCUAAAGACAGAGUUGGAGAUGAGCCAUCAUUGGUGUUGACUGAGUUGCCAAGCAGUCACCUGAGUCAGUACCGUUGGUAAGCAGAAGAUCUAGGUUAAAAUUUUUGAAAAUAAUCUCAUGCUGUUUUGCUUUGUUAACCAUUUUUAAGGCAGCAGCUAAACUGAAGGGAGAAAGAGCAAUAAAAUUGUAAUAAAGUUUUACAUCCUAGAGAUGUUCAAAUAUAUAUGAGUGUCAAGUCAAUGAUGCAGUCCUUGUUGAGCAUGAUUGAGACUCUGGGGUUCAGGCCCUAGAACAAAGCCAAAGCAACACACAAUUAAGCAGUGUAAAGGAAGGGAAUUCAUACUCAUUGACCACAUUUUAUAUCUUACAUUCUUUACAUGUAGUAUCCUUUUACUAUAGUUCUUGACAUAGAGGUUCAGAUUUGUUCAGUAAUUUGCCCAAAUACAUUUUUAUUAGCUUCUGGAGUUUAACAUGAAGAGACCUGAUGCUAAAAUGCAUGUCUAAGUACUAUUAACAUAACACCACAAACUGAAUAUUAAACUCUUCUUGCACGCUUUUGCCCCAAAUUUGUUCCCUGGAUUUGGCUAAAAAUUAACCACAACAAAAUAGAAUACCAGCAAAUAUGAAGAGAAUCUGAUUGCUAAUACAAUGCAAGUGGGGUUUUAAGCGAUGAUCUCCUCUUGGAGAUAGUUUAGUUUGGUGGUUUCUAAAGAACUAAACACGCACUACCAUAGAACUUGCAUUGUGCUUCUUAGCAUUUAUGCCAGAUAAACAAAUACUUAAAUUCACACAGAAUGUUUAUAACAGCUUUAUUCUCAAUAGCUAACAACUGGAAAUGACCCAGAUAUCCUUCAAUGGGUAAAUAAACUAUUAGCCAUUUUACUAACAUUUAAGUAACCGCUAUCAGUCAUGAUGGAGCCAUACCAUGAAAUACUACUCAACAAUCAGAGGCGGCAGAAUCAUUGAAAUGUGCAAAACCAGAAUGAAUCUUUAUGGAAUUAGACUGGGUAAGAAAAAUGCCAACCCCUAAAAGUUCCACGUAAUGCUCUCACAUUCUUCUGCCUUUUCAUUCGAGUGUGGUGUGAAUGUAUAAGUUAAUGCAUGUUUUGUAUGUAGGUUGUUGUACACUUGUACAUGGAAGUCCAAGGCUGAUAUCAGGAAUCAUCCCUGCUUGUUCUUCUACUGUUUUCUUUGUGUCAGGGACUCUCAGUCAAACUCAGAGCUCUCGGAUGUGGCUAGUCUUGCUAGACAGUUUGGUUAAGGGAUCAUUUCAGGAGGCUUGGGGGACCUGACUCCAGUCAUACUUGUGAGUCGAACUCUGUAACCACAGAGCCACCCCCCUGCACAUAUUUAUGUAGUAAUACCGAAAUAACAAAAUCAGAGAAAUGGAUGAAAGAUUAAAGGUUGCAAAGAGUCAAAGAGCAGUGUGGUGAAUGGGAAGAGGGUGUGGCUGCAAAAGGAACUUUUUGUUAAAGGAGUCUAGUCACAAACCAAACAGUUUGUACUCAACUGCAUAACGCCAAUAUCCUAGUUUGAUGACACAUGAGACAGCACCGUAGAAACUAAGUGAAGGGGAAAGGAUCUCUAUUAUUAUUAUAUUUUUUAAACACUGCACAAGAACUUAAAGUUACCACAAAAAGCCUAAUACAAGGUCAGUGGACAUUCUAGGAGGCCAAUUCCAUACUUUCUAGAACUGAGCUCAAACUAGGAGAAAGAUGGAAUUGUAAGUCUUAAAAUUCAAGAAACUUAGAUCAUUCAUUAAACUCGUCUGAUUUUAUUUUUCUCUGACUUUAUUAUGGACUAUAGUACUACUAAGAGAAAGAGAAGAUGCUACCUCCUGUCACAGGACUUCUGUUUUGCCUAGAACUUUAAAAUCAAUUAGCUGAUCAAACUAUAUGUUAGAAGACGAAACCAGAUUGCAUUAGGCCCUACUGUCAUAAUUUUUUGCUUAUAUUUUUGAUUGUGAGCCUCACCCUUAAUGGCUGAGCUGUCCCUGCAGCCCUAUAAUCUAUUUCUAAAGGAUUUUUUUUGUUAUUCUUGUCUUCUUCUAACUUACUAAGUUUCUUUUAUUCUAUUUUGGAUCUGUGUUUCCAAGUUGUAUUGAUUUGGUGGGAGUCAGUGCUCGCUGUCAAACUUAAUAAGCCCGGGAAUCCACAUGAAACGAAGGGAACCGACUCCAGAAAGCUGUCCUCAGAGCUUCAUAUACUCGCUGUGGCACAUGUUGCAGGCACCCCAUACAGCCGUGCAUUAAAAGUGUUUUGA